CUGGAAUUGAGAAGCGUUGCACUAAACAAAUAUCGCCUCUGGACUUUCAUUUAUGUGACAACCAGAACUGUCCCUUGGCGGGAUGUUACCAUUAUGAUUGAACCAGUCAGAGUCUCAGUUUGAAUCUUUUGAAGAUAAAGAUUAAGUUGAUGACAAUGAGAUCUGACUCUAGAGGCUGAUCAACAAGUAUA